CAGCAGCCGCGGGAAUACGUAGGGUCCGAGCGUUGUCCGGAAUUAUUGGGCGUAAAGAGCUCGUAGGCGGUUCGUCGCGUCUGCCGUGAAAUCCUCAGGCUCAACCUGAGGCGUGCGGUGGGUACGGGCGGACUAGAGUGCGGUAGGGGAGAAUGGAACUCCUGGUGUAGCGGUGGAAUGCGCAGAUAUCAGGAAGAACACCGAUGGCGAAGGCAGUUCUCUGGGCCGUAACUGACGCUGAGGAGCGAAAGCGUGGGGAGCGAACAGGAUUAGAUACACCAGUAGUCCCUGUCUCUUAUAC
rnacentral:rRNA from 1 species